rnacentral:tRNA from 1 species
GGUCGCAUGGUGUAAUUGUUAGCACUCUGGACUCGGAAUCCAGAGAUCCGAGUUCGAAUCUCGGUGAGACCA